rnacentral:lncRNA from 1 species
GGGGGCGGGCGGCCAGGCCGGUCGGGCGGGUGCGCGGGGCGCGCGGGGCCCGGGGCCAGAGCUGGAGCCGGAGCCGGACGGGCGCCAUGGAGGGGCUGCGGCGGGGGCUGUCGCGCUGGAAGCGCUACCACAUCAAGGUACACCUGGCGGACGAGGCGCUGCUGCUGCCGCUGACCGUGCGGCCGCGGGACACACUCAGCGACCUGCGCGCCCAGCUGGUGGGCCAGGGCGUGAGCUCCUGGAAGCGCGCCUUCUACUACAACGCGCGGCGGCUGGACGACCACCAGACGGUGCGCGACGCGCGCCUGCAGGACGGCUCGGUGCUGCUGCUCGUCAGCGACCCCAGGUAGUCUGGGUUGGAGGAGGCAGAGCCAUGACCGAGGGGACCCGGGUACUGGCUGAAGGAAUAGGCUGGGGUAGAGGGCACUUUUGGAAAACACUUCUCCCGCCUCCCGGGAGCCUAGAUCUCACUCCAGGGUCUGGGCUCCCAGGUGGAUGGUGAAACCCUGGCCUGACCAGAUGAUGCACACUGCUUCAGACGCUCCUGCUGGAGCCCCAAUCCCUGACAUGGACCUAGGACAUUUUUGCUCCUGCCCAGCCUAUCAGGAGAGAGCCUUGAGCCUUUCAGCUCUGCUGUGCGACUUUGAGGCUGUUGCUCCCCUGUUGGGGCCCCGGGUGCCCUGUCUUCAGUGGGAAGCACUGUGCCACCUUGGAAAGCUCCCACGGGCAUCCAGAGAGCAUCGCAAGAAGAGAAGCACAGAGGGGACGGGAGAGGCACUCGGAGGCCCUUCCCCUCUUGCCCAGGACGUUCUCCCAGCCACACCUUUGCCCAAGCCAUGCCCCCUGCCUGGAGCACUUUUCAACCUCUUUUCUGCAGCUCCAAUACACGUGGGAUUGCAGUCUC